AAUGCUGACAUAAGUAACGAUAAAGCGGGUGAAAAGCCCGCUCGCCGGAAGACCAAGGGUUCCUGUCCAACGUUAAUCGGGGCAGGGUGAGUCGACCCCUAAGGCGAGGCCGAAAGGCGUAGUCGAUGGGAAACGGGUUAAUAUUCCCGUACUUGGUGUUACUGCGAAGGGGGGACGGAGAAGGCUAUGUUGGCCGGGCGACGGUUGUCCCGGUUUAAGCGUGUAGGUGUGUGUUCCAGGUAAAUCCGGUUCACUUUAACACUGAGGCGUGACGACGAGGCACUACGGUGCUGAAGCAACAAAUGCCCUGCUUCCAGGAAAAGCCUCUAAGCAUCAGGUAACAUCAAAUCGUACCCCAAACCGACACAGGUGGUCAGGUAGA
rnacentral:rRNA from 1 species